GAUGAACGCUGGCGGCGUGCCUAACACAUGCAAGUCGAGCGAACAGACGAGGGGCUUGCGCCUUUGACGUUAGCGGCGGACGGGUGAGUAACACGUGGAUAACCUACCUAUAAGACUGGGAUAACUUCGGGAAACCGGAGCUACGACCGGAUAACAUGUUGACCUUCAUGGUUCAACAGUUAAAGACGGUCUUGCUGUGACUUAUAGAUGGAUACGCGCCGCAUUCGCUGGUAGGGAAGGUAACGGCUUACCAAGGCAACGAUGGUUAGCCGACCUAAGAGGGUGGACGCCUAGCCGGGAAGUGAGGAUGAGUCGAGACACCGACGGUGAGACGCAGUACAGAAUCUUACGGGAUGGAGCAGAGCGGGACAGAGCAACGCCGCGUAAAUGAUGAAGGUGCUCGGAUCGUAGAACGCUGUUAUUAGGGAAGAUCAAAAGUGUAAGUAACUAUGCUCGUAUUGACGGUACCUGGACAAUAAGCCACGGCUAACUCCGUG
rnacentral:rRNA from 1 species